UGACCUGAGAUCAGUCGAGACUACCCGCUGAA
rnacentral:rRNA from 1 species